AACAGGAUUAGAUACCCUGGUAGUCCACGCCGUAAACGUUGGGCGCUAGGUGUGGGGGCCAUUCCACGGUCUCCGUGCCGCAGCUAACGCAUUAAGCGCCCCGCCUGGGGAGUACGGCCGCAAGGCUAAAACUCAAAGGAAUUGACGGGGGCCCGCACAAGCGGCGGAGCAUGUUGCUUAAUUCGAUGCAACGCGAAGAACCUUACCUAGGCUUGACAUGCACGGAAAUCUGUCAGAGAUGGCAGGUCCUUCGGGGUCGUGCACAGGUGGUGCAUGGUUGUCGUCAGCUCGUGUCGUGAGAUGUUGGGUUAAGUCCCGCAACGAGCGCAACCCUCGUUCUAUGUUGCCAGCGGGUCAUGCCGGGGACUCAUAGGAGACUGCCGGGGUCAACUCGGAGGAAGGUGGGGAUGACGUCAAAUCAUCAUGCCCCUUAUGUCUAGGGCUGCAAACAUGCUACAAUGGCCGGCACAAGGGGCUGCGAUACCGUGAGGUGGAGCGAAUCCCAAAAAGCCGGUCUCAGUUCGGAUUGGGGUCUGCAACUCGACCCCAUGAAGUUGGAGUCGCUAGUAAUCGCAGAUCAGCAACGCUGCGGUGAAUACGUUCCCGGGCCUUGUACACACCGCCCGUCACGUCACGAAAGUCGGUAACGCCCGAAGCCGGUGGCCCAACCCCUUUGUGGGAGGGAGCCGUCGAAGGCGGGAUCGGCGAUUGGGACGAAGUCGUAACAAGGUAACC
rnacentral:rRNA from 1 species